CGUGUUUUUUGGUUUGCGUAACCGGCCGCCAGGUGGCAGCUCCGUCGCAAAGAUGCUAGAAAAGUUGGCACAUCUGUUCGUUGACGUUUGGAUUUUGCUUCCGUUUGUCUGUCAUCGCGUCGACAGGCAGCAGCUUGGCUCAUGUCUGUUUUUCUUCUGUGCUGGUGUUGUGUGGCGGUGACGACGCCGCCGGUGGUAAUUAAUCACCAUCGGCGGAGAAAAUUACGGAGAAUAAUUCCUGAUUUGUUGUUCGGGAACCGGACCGCCUUCCCCCUGGCACCCGACGUGGGUAACCGGGUGUGGAAAAGCGAUUUCCGAGUUACGAAUUGUGGCCAGGAAGGUGCGGAAGAGUAGGUAGCGGGGCGGAUUCGGGAUUUUUUGGCUUCCAUGCGGUGGCCUUUUUGUGUUGGGUGGGAGGGUGAAAUGGUUCCCAAGCGUAGUUCCGUAGUGUCCCCCGGGGGAACGAAGAUAGGCUUCCGGCCAUUCGGGCUCUAGGCCUUUACGGUGUGUUUUUCGUGUUUGCGUGCGUUGUGCCAUAGAGUCCCUCGGGGGAACGAAAAGAGGCUUCCGGCCAACCGGGCUCUAGGCCUUCACGGGGUGUUUUCGCGUUUUUGUUCGAGAAGUUCGUUAUCGUUGUGCCGUAGAGUCCCCCGGGGGAACGAAACAGGCUUCCGGCCAAUCGGGCUCUAGGCCUUAACGGAGUGUUUAUUCGCGUUUGCGUGCGUUGUACCGUAGAGUCCCUCGGGGGAACGAAGAAGGCUUCCGGCCAACCGGGCUUUAGGCCUUUACGGGAUGUUUUCGAUCGUUGCUGCACGGAGCUCCCCGGGGAGACGAAGACUAGUGAUUUCGUCAGAGCCCAAGAGCCUCCCGGGAGGACGAAGUUGUGUGUGGGAUGGUUUUACUGGGUAAUAAACUGUACGACGCUCGAACCGCCCCGCUACUGCUUGAAUCCCGCUGCUCCCACCCCUGGCACCCUGGAACGGGUCCGCCACGCGGGGGAGACGACGCUGGAGCAUUGGAGGAACUCCCACCCUUGGCACCCUGGGGACGGGUCCGCCACGCAGGGGAGAAAGGCGGGGCACCCCGCCGUUUGGAUCUUGAAGGUUCCGGGCCUGAUACGUUCCAGAGAGAGACUUGCGACUGGCAACUCCCACCCCUGGCACCCUGGGACGGGUCCGCCACGCGGGGGAAAAGGUCAUCCUUCUUCGUAGAGGAGUACACCGCAGCGAUCAGGUGCGUGCUCCCGCCCCUGGCAUCCUGGACGGACGGGUCCGCCAUGCGGGGAAGAAGGGCGAGAGGCCACAAUGUUGGAUGUAAGGAGCGAUUAACCGAAGUAUGGUGAUUGAACGUGUUUACACCCCUGGCUCCCCGGAUGGACGGGUCCGCCGCCCGGUGGGGUAGGAGGAGGUUUCUACGUGGCCGUGCUUCGUCAACUUUUCGGCCACUGGUACCCUGGAGACGGGUCCACCAGAGGCUGCUGCCUUCGUUUGACGUUCCUGAGGUGCUGAUUGUGGCCCAGGGGGUCUGUACCCUCCUGCGUCACGGAGGCCGCCAGUCCCUGUCAGAAGACAGUAGGGGCUGUAACGGCGGUCACAGGUACUGGAUGUUAAAAGGGCCGGAUGAUAACGGGCAAAUGGAGGAAGACGGACAGUGAUGGAACAACCGAUAGAUGAUGCCCUGUCGAUCGGAAGUCACGCGCUGGUAGUAUUUGGGUGAGUCCUUUCAAGAUGUGGGUCGGGUAACUUUUUGUUUGUUGUUUGGGGUGGGUCUCUCCCCCCGGUCUUCCACCUCGGGGGUGCCCACCUCGUUGAGUAUUCUGUCGGUCCAUCCCCUGGCACCCUUGUGCGGGUCCGCCUACGCGGGAGACUGAAAAACUAUUUUUUGUGGGCUUGGUGCUCUUGUACGAGUUUUUCAAGGUGGGAUCCCACCCCUGGCACCCUUGUCUGGGUCCGCCUACGCGGGGGAUUGUUGAGAUAGACAAAAAGUCUCGGUUGUGCGUGGUGUUUUCGGUAGCUCCCACCCCUGGCACCCUGGUUCGGGUCCGCCACGCGGGGGAGAUGUAACCGAUCAUCUUGUGUGGGUAUUGGGCCGAGUGCCCCGAUUCGGAUUGACGCUGCCGACGACUCCCACCCCUGGCACCGUCCAGGUCCGCCACGCGGGGGAAAAAAAUAAAACUUCGACCGUGCAAGUGUGGAAAAGCGAUUUGGUGAUCUUGACACCGGCGUAGAUUUGGGACUUACAGCCUGGGUUGUGGAGAGCGAUUCGAGUCGUGUUAAGAUGCCGGAGGGUAAUGACAAU